rnacentral:lncRNA from 1 species
UCGGGUUUGACGGAUUAAGAGCUCCGGAAACGGUGGCCAGGGACCCCGUUGUGUCAUUUAAGACUGCCUUGUGGUUUUGGAUGACCUAUGUGCACCCAGUUAUGAACCAAGGUUUUGGUGCAACAAUUCAGAGAAUCAAUGGAGCCAUUGAAUGCGGUGGCAAGCAACCUGCUCAGGUUCAAGCUCGCAACGGAUAUUAUAAGGAUUAUUGCAACAAAUUUGGUGUUGCUCCUGGCCCAAAUCUCUAUUGUUAAGAUGUUUUCGCCGAUACUUCACUGGCUUGUGGAAAUAAUGUGGCGUAAUUUUAUAAUAUAGGGUGGUUUCAUGUAUCGAAAACAAAAUAAAUUGAAGAAAUAAAAGUGUGUUCCUAAUGUGGUGUAAUUUUAUAAAAUAGGGUGGUUUCAUGUACCUAAAACAAAAUAAAUUGAAGAAAUAAAAGGGUGUUGCCGACCAUAUUUUAUUGCUUAUAUGGUUUGUGAUUAAUUAUGCUUCUUGGAGAAACUCCACCUUGAUUUAGCUUUGGCUUUUUUAGGAAAAGCAAUAUGAUAGAUGUUUGUCAGUGAAAAAAGAAACUAACUUUAUACAAAGAGCAAUACUAGCUUUAGUGAUUGAUUGAGUGUCGGAUUGGACACCAACUUUAAGUAACCCAGCUUUUUCAUAACAUAAUAUUUGUAACAUAGGACUUAAAAAAUAUGAUGAAUUAAUAACUUAAUAAAUGUAACAAAUAUUUUGAUAAUAUGUGUAUCAUAAAAAGAAUGUAACAAAGUAUUUGACAACAAUAAUUGGUUCAGAACAAGACAAUGUUUCCAUGGAAUUAUGAGAAGAAUCGUGUUAGAGAUUAGGACAAAGGAAACUGCGCGACAACUUUCGUACCGUAGUAUCACAGUGGCGCCUUUUUUUCAAUCUUUUGCAAUACUAAAUUUUAUUUGGCCUCCUUACUUUCUUAUGUAUUUUCAAUUUAUUAAAUAAAUCAACACAUUUAUAAAGAUGGCUGAUAGCCGGCACCGGGCAGCUUUUAUCGGGGUUGCCAGUAAGCUAAAUCAAUUUUGGAGGAGCAUAAAACUUCAGCUUUAUGAAUAACAUUAUUUUAUUGCAUUUACUCUACUAAUUUUAUGGCUUUGAACCCUUUGUUUGACAAGAAAUAUUUGUGUCGGAUCAUCGCACCACCUCAAUCAUACCAUUUAGAGACUUAUUAUUCUGUCACAUAACCCAAUAGUAUUGGAUUUUUUCCAACAAAUUUAACAUACUAAGAUAGUAGGACAACCUUACAAAAAAAUUUUGAGUUAAUAGUGCUAAAUGGUAUUAUAAUCAAAAGUGGGUCUUGGUAUCUUUUAUUAAAAAUUUUAGAUCUACAUAACCAUUUCUCUAAACCUUGAGGAUGUAGGUAUCUUUUUCCCUAAAGUAAAAGAUUCUCUUAUUAUAAGAUUAAAAUUACUCAUAGUGAUAAUAUUAUAAUCUAUUGACAUUUUUUUUUUCAAUUAGACCAAAUUAUAAUAUUUUUUAUAAUAAGGUAAAGCAGUGCUAAGUCUUUAAACUUCUGAUGAUUUCAAUUUAUUCAAUAAAUAUAUAAUCUCUAACUCUAAUUGAAGAAAAAAAAAAGGUUGAAUUGGGGACAUAUUUAAAAGUAAAAUAAAUAUUGUUUUAUGAAAAAUUAUAAAAAAUUAAGGGGUUUAAGCAAAAAUUUUCGAGGCCUGGGUCCGCCCCCAAAGGAACAGUCACUUUUGGUCAAUUUAAUUUGAAAGUUCCACAAAUAAUAAUGCUAAAUCAAAUUCAGUUGUAAAUGAACAAGAACAAGACGAGAAUUUGGGCGACAAUUAGGGAACAAGAUGAAAUGAAGGUGAGAUGAGAUGAAGAUGAUUUUGAGAAGAAGAGAGAGAUUUGGAAUUUGGGCCGGAUUGUUUUUAAGUUCUGAAAUAUGUUUUAGAGGGUAUAAUGUUAAUAACCAAAUAACAACAUCCUACCGUUGAAACUACUUUUUCAUGUAUACAGCUGAAGUAUCAUAAUGAAAAAAUUUGACACAUGUUGCAAUUGUUUCAAAGUAAUUGAAUCCUAUAUGAUUAUUAUUUUGCAACAAGCUAUAUAUAAACAAUAAUUUACUUAAGGGUGGGCAAUGAGACGAUUUGAUUAGGUAUUGGGCCGAAUCCAAAACUUUAGUUUGGUUCAGUACUGAAUUCUUGAAAAAUCAAUAGGAAUAGAAUUAGAACUAAGAUUUUCGAUUUAGUUUGGUCCUUUAAAUAUUUAUAAAAUUUUUUAAUUUUUUUACAAAAUUUAAUAUUUUUUAUUUAAUUUCUUAUAUUCUCUUAGAUCAUGCUAUGUAGCAUUACUUAAAUAUAAAAUAACGUCAUUUUUUUUCUGCUUCGGUUCUAAUUAUGAGAAUUUAAUUCAAUUUCAUAUUUGUUUUAUCAACUUUUUUUAAAGAAAAUGUCCCUUGAGUUUACCUAUAAGAAAAUAGACAUCGUUCAAGAAUGAAAGUUUAGAAAAUUGACUAGACUUUUCAAGUCUUUAAAAGAUAUUGUUUUAUAUGUAGGUUAUGCUAACUUCUUGCUUACGAGAAUUUUCAAGUCUUUAGAAGAUAUUGUUUCAUAUGUAGGUUAUGCUAACUUGUUGCCUACGUAAACGAGCUAAGGAUACUAUUCCUCGAAAUAAUUAUCCAGAAGAAAAAGUUUGAUCUAUUAAUUAAAAUUAGGGAGAAUGAUGCUCGAUCUAUCUUAUAAUUUAUUUUUACAACUUGAGUUCCAAUGAAAUUUAUUACUCAUUUUGUUCCAACUUUUAAACAGUGACAAAAAAUAUGCAUUAUUAAAGGAUAAAUGAGAACUUUUCACGUACAAUUUUGAUAGAUCUGCAAAAGAAAAAAAAUGAAGAAGAGGAAGUGUUUUUACUGUAAGAAACAAGGCCAUUACAUUAGAGAUUGUUCUGAGAAAAAGAAAUAUGAUAAAGAGAGAAUAUGAGAUGCAGCAGUGGCCUCAGAUGAUUUAUCUGAUGAUGGAUACCAUAGUGCUGACUUGUUGGUAGCCUUAAACAACAACAUUAGAGGUUAUUAGGUCCUUGAUUUAGAUUGUUCCUUUCAUUUGUGUCCUGAUAGAAGUUUUUUUUAUGAGUAUGAAUAUGUGGAUAGUGGUAGAGUUUUGAUGGGAAACAACAAUGUGUGUAAGAUUUUUGGUAUAGGGUUUAUCAAAAUAGAGAUGUUUGAUGGGAUUGUUAUAACUCUAUGUGAUGUGAGACAUACACCUAGGCUAAAGAGGAACUUAAUCUCUUUAGGCAUGCUGGAUAGUACAUGAUACUUCUUCAAAUUUGAAAAUAGUGGUUUAAAGAUUAUGAAAAGGACUGAGAUGGUAAUGAAAGGGAUUAAGAAAAAUGGUCUUUAUAUAUUAGAAGGAUCAUCAGUGCUUGUGUCAACUAUAAUGACAACUAUUUCUGAGCUUGAUAGAACUAUGUUAUGACAUCUUAGACCUGACCAUAUGAGUAUUAGGGGAAUGCAAAAAUUAAGUAUUCAAGGGUUGCUCUGUGGUGACAAAAUAAUUGAGUUAGACUUAUGUGAAAACUGUAUUUUUAGCAAAGCACACAUGUCAAAUUUACUAAAGGGAUGCAUGUGUCUAAACAACCUUUAGACUAUGUGCAUGCUGAUCUUUGAGCGCCUGGUCAGGUCUCUUCUCUAAGUGGUGGAAAGUACUUUAUAUCUGUGAUAAAUGAUUACUCCAGAAAGGUUUGGGUAUAUAUAUUUGAAAACCAAAGAUCAAGUCUUUGAAAAGUUUAAAGUCUUGAAGGCUUUGGUGGAGGCUCAAUAUGGUUUCAAAGUGAAAUGCCUUAGGACAGACAAUGAACUUGAAUUCUGUAAUAAAGAGUUUAAAGUUUUUUUUUUAUCAAGAAUGAGGGAUUAAGAGGCAUAAGACGGUAAGGCUCACCCCUCAGCAAAAUGGCUUAGUUGAAAAGAUGAACAGAACCCUUGUUUAUAAGACAAGAUGCUUAUUGAUCAAUUAUUAAUUACCAAGGAGUUUUUGGGUUGAAGCUAUCUCAACAGCCUGUUAUCUCAUUAAUAGAAGUCCAUCAUCAGCCAUUGGGUUCAAAACUCCAUAAGAAGUCUAGUCUGGAAAACUUGCAAGCUAUAAAUAUCUCAGGGUAUUUGGGCAUCCUACGUAUGUUCAUAUUAGACAAGGGAAGCUUGAUGCACAAGCUGUCAAAUGAGCAUUUGUUCGUUAUAUAGAUGGGGUUAAAGGCUACAGAGUUUGGUGUGGAAAAGCUAAUAAGUGUUUAAUUAUUUAUUCUGUUUAAUGAAGUUGUUGUAAUCAAUAAGUCUGAUCAAGUAACUUCUGAUACUGAUAUUAAUGUAAAUAAGACACUGACUACUGGAGUCAUUAAUCAAGGUGUUAAUAUUGAGGUAGAGUUGUCUAGUGCUCAUAAAGAUGAAGUACAACCAGAAGCUGUUGAAGAUUAUUCUCAAGAUACAGUAGUAAUUGAAGAUGCAGCACCACAAGUUACUGAUCUGCAAUAAUAUCAAUUAGAUAUGGACAUAUAAAGAAGACAUAUCAUACCCCCAAAAAGGUAUGCAUAUACAGACAUAGUUGCAUAUGCAUUGACGAGUGUAGAGGAUGUUUCAAUUGAAAAGCCUAGCAGCUACGCAAAAGCACUAAGUACAACAAUAACUAGAUUAAAGCAAUAAGGGAAGAGAUGGAUUCUCUGGUAAGGAAUCAGACAUGGACAUUGGUUUCUAAUCCAAGAAAUAGGAAAAUUGUCAGCUGCAAAUGGAUAUUCAAGAAGAAUGAGGGUAUUCCAUGUGUUAAAGACUCAAGAUAUAUGGCAAGACUUGUGGCAAGGGGUUUCAAAAUGAGGGGUAUAUUUUAAUGAAAUCUUCUCACAUGCUGUAAAACACAAAUCAAUUAGAACCUUACUUGUUAUGGUGACUUUGCUUCAUGUAGAGCUUGAACAAAUGGAUAUAAAGACUGCCUUCUUACAUGAUAAUCUUGAAGAAAAGAUAUUAAUGUCACAGCCUGAAGGUUUUUAAGUAAAGGGACAUAAGGAUUAUGUAUGUCUUCUGCAUAAGUCUCUAUAUGGCUUGAAAGGGUCUCCUAGGCAAUGUAAGAGAUUUGACCAGUUUAUGAUCUCUAAUGGCUAUUACAAGAGCACAUAUGAUAAUUGUAUCUUGUUGAGUGUUAGAAAAUAUAUAUUUAUAAAGGAGAAAAUCGUCAUUUUACAUUUCAAGUCUUAUUAACACCCUUACUUUUAUGUAUUUUAAGUUUCUUGUGAUUCAAUUAUAUAUGUUUUAUUUUAAUUAAGUAUUUUAUGUAUUUUAGGGACAUCAUGGUCAUUUCACAAUGAACUAGAGAUCAGACGGCAAAACGGACAUCACUUUUGAACUCAGGACAGUCGAAAACCUUAGGAGGAGCAUAAAAGGAAAAAUAUCAUUGUUCACAUGUACGAUAUUAUUCACAUGUACGGUAUUGUUUACGUUACUGUUCACGACACUGUUCACAUAGACGGAUCAAUGACGUGGCAUUGACCGAUGAUGUGGCAUUGACUGACGAGGUGACACGAUUCCAUUGGAGAAAAUUCUUAUGCACUGUUGAUUGGUGACGCGGCAGCAUAUCAGUGGACUAAAAAUCGCGCGUACAGUACAUGCAUAUACACAGGAUUAUUUUCAACCAAACCGUGUCACUAUUCAAACCAGUUGACUGUUCAAACCGUGUGGUCAAACCGUAUCACUGUUCAAACCGCGUGGUCAAACUGCGUACUGUUGACUGAUGACGUGGCGCAAUCCUGAGCGUUCAAACUGUUUUUAAUUCGAUAGCCAUUGUUUACUCAAUGUAUCUAUAAAAAUAGGACCUCUCCCCCCUAUUUUGAUAUCUCUGAAUUCAAUUUUAAGUUCCAUUUUCUAUAAUUCCUUCUCCAUCUUGUAUUUUCUACGUAUUUUAAUAAAUUCUUAUUUUGCUCCUAGUUCAAUUAUGAGUAGUUAAUUUUCUUUCAAGCUUGGGUUGAAGGUGAAGUCUCAACAUAUGUCAUGGGCUUUAUUUGGUAAAUUUAUUUUCUCUUCACCUCUAAUUUUUGUGGAUGUUUUGACUUUUCGUCGACAAAUAAUAAUAAUCUUGUCUAGAUACCGCACUGAUUUUACCGGCUCCCUAGUACAAAGUUAUUAUUAUUUGGUACGAUAAGCUCUUAGCACCAUAUUGAUUAGAGUGUGGUUCAUGAGGUGUGGAUUCCCCCCUCAUGAUUUAAUUGGCAUUAAUAAGAAAUAUUUAGCCCAUGGUGCAUGUUGAUGCGGAUCUAGAUACCCAAGCGCUUCAAUUAUUAUAGUUUCCAUUUUAAUUUAAUUCUGCCAUUUCAAUUUAAAUUUUAAGAUAUUCCAAAUCAUCUUUACCAUAAUUCCAACCACCCAUUUAGAAAAAUUAAUUCUACACACAAUUAAAAUCCACCUCCUCGUGGGAUCGACACUUGUCACCAUUGAUCUAUUCUAAAAUAGAUUCGUGCACUUGCGAGUUCAAUAAAAUUUGUACAACAUGUCUAUCAUAGGAACAUAAGCUCAGGUGGAGCUAUGUAUCUUUUGUUGUAUGUUGAUGAUAUACUCAUUGUUGGUAAAAAUUCUAGUGAUAUUGAGAAACUUAAGAAUUUAUUAAAGGGGGAAUUUGAAAUGAAAGAUCUUGGCAGUGCUAAGAUGAUCCUUGUUAUGGAUAUUCUUAGAGAUAGAGUUGUUGGUACUUUGUUUCUAAGCCAAUCAAGAUAUGUCAGUAAGGAGUUAGAAAAGUAUAUUAUGAUGGAUUCAAAACCUGUAAUGACACUUUUGGGAGCUCAAUUUAAACUCUCUAAUGAUAUGUCUCCAAUAUCAUAUGCUAAGAAAUUCUAUAUUUACUGGCUGUAGGAAGCUUAAUGUAUGCAAUGGCUUGCACCAGAGCAGACAUAGCUUAUGCAGUAAGUGUAGUAAGCAGGUUUAUGAGUAAUCCUGAUAAGCUUUAUUAGGAUGCUAUGAAAUGGGUUAUGAGGUACUUGAAACGUACUUUAGAUCAUGGUCUGGUGUAUGGCAAAUCCAAGCAAGAAGUCUAUGAAGUUAGAGGCUAUGUGGACUCUAAUUUUGCAGGUGACUUAGAUAGGAGAAAUUCUAUCUCUGGAUACCUGUUCAUGCUAGAAAAUUGUCUCAUAAGUUGGAAACUUACUUUACAACACAUAGUAGCUUUGUUAUCUACUGAGGCUGAAUUUUUGCUGCAAUAGAGGCAGUAAAAGAAUCAUUGUGGCCGAGAAGGCUACUGAAUGAAUUUUGGUUGAAACAAAAGACAAUUUAGAUCUUUUGUGAUAAUUAGAGUGCGAUUCAGCUUAUAAAAAAUGAAAUUUAUCGUGGGAGAACCAAACACAUUGAUAUGAAGUUGCACUUUAUCAGAGAUGAGGUCGCAAAAGGGUUUGUUGUAGUAACAAAAAUAUAUACAGAUAUCAACCCUACUGAUAUGUUAACAGAAGUAAUUCCAACAGCCAAAUUUAAGAUUUGUGUAGACUUGAUUGGUAUUGGAAAUGGUUCUAGUUGUUAAGUUGCGUGGUUGAAGGUUUUUUUUUUAAAGCACUUAUGGUCAAGAGUAAUGCUGAAUCAGAUCUGCAAGGUGGAGAGUGUGAGGACAUGAGUUAUGUUUUUGGACUAAAAUGUAAUCGAAUGAAAGUUGUUGGGUAAUGUGCAAAUCGACUUCAAAUGAGGAGUCAAUUUGUAAAUUCUGCGCUAAUGUGGCAAAAAGGUUAAAGGUUGUUAAGGUGUUUCUAGAAAAUUUCCAAAAUAUGAAAGGGCCUGCUGUGCAUUGCUUUGUGUGUGAUUUCUCUUUUGUUUCUUAGCUAAAAAAGGUGAUUCUAGAUUCUUUGGAAUCCUUGAAGUGUCCUCAAAACAAUUGAUCUGAUUGUAAAGCAUUUGAGUAAUGAGAUCUUGUUCAUUUUUCCUUUGAAACUUGGAAGCUUGUUCACUGUGAAUAGUUUUCUAGGUUCUUGUUUGACUGAAUCAUUUUCUGUUCUUGAUUCCAUUCUGUCUUUAAUUGAUCAAAGUUGUGUGAGUUGAUUAAUUUCUUGUUAAUAGCCAUUAAAAUACAACAGGAAAACUACCAAAACCUAACCCGAAAUUCGAAUGUUGCCAAAUCCUGAAUCUAAAUCCAAAUUUCUAAAUGUUGACAAAUCCUAAUCCUAACCCUAAAUCUGAUACUUGUUCAGCUUUGGUGGGAAAAUCUUUUAUAGAAGAUAGUUUUCUUCAUGGUUACGUUGGUGGUCUAUAUGAGGUUCAAACUAUGUGCGUACAAUGAAUUCAAGACCUUUAAUAAGGUUUAAUUUAAAUUUAUAGUGAAAGAUUAUCGUGUCUAUCUAAGGAAGUGAAAUCUUAUACUUCCAUUUGGGAACUAGCUAGCUUAUCGAAACAAGUUUUGAACAAUUUAAUUAUUAAUGUUCAAUUUUGAUGUACUGAUCUCGGAAGUUGGAAUAAUGGAGCACAAUUAAUUAAUUUCCUUGAUAUUUAAUUAGAAUGUGAAAUCUUUAUUUCUCUUUUGGGGAAGCUAAUUUAUUGCUGCAAGUUUUGCAACCUAAAAAUAGGUUCCCUUACUGUUAAAGUAGAUUGUCAAUGAACCGCUGUUAUUAAGUCCAAAAAUCAUAAACAUAAAUUGUAAAAUAAUUUAUUGUAGAUGACAAAAGAUGUAUUGGGCCGGACUCAACAAAGGGUGCGUUUUUUAUUUGGAAUCAGUGGAUGUCCUAUGGAACGCCUCAAGGUCCACUAAACAGCCACACAACUGUUAUGGUAAAAAAUGUUUUCAGGUCAGCGGAAGUUUUUUUGAAUAAUCAAUGGAGGAAAGUAAAAAAUACCCUUAGUUUGUAAGUGAAAUUACUACAUAUUUAUUUUGUUAUAUCAUUUAAGAUCAUGUCUUUUUCUGGUUGACGUGCAAUCUUGGCCAUGAAAUGGGACUCUUUAUUGCUUGAACAAUAGUUGAAAGAACUAAUUACUAAUCACAUGAUUUGUGGUUUAUACCUCCAUCAGCCAGAAUCAUACAAUUGUAAACAACUAUUGUCGUGUAGAAAAAAAUCAAGAAUAAAGUUAAUUUGUAUGUUUUUUUUUUGCCAUAAGAUAUAUAUAUAUAUAUAUAUAACUGAUUUGUUCCUAUAGAUUAUGAUAUGUUUGUAAACAACUUUCAGGUUGAUUUGCAAUUGAAAUAUUGUUCUCGUCUGCCAUAAAUUAAUGGAUUAUUUUUGUUGUUAAUUGACUCGUCUAUGAAAUUAAAGAAAACUGGAAAUACUUUAGAGCCAUAAUUUCUUUAAAAACUAGUUAUUAAUUUGAUAAAUGAUGAACAUUCAAUUCUUUAAUUGGAUAAAACUUAAAGCCUGCAGAUAAUCAUACAUAUUUUAGGCAAUUUUCUUUUGCUCAAAUAUUAUAAUGUGAAUGUGAAUGAUGUGGUGCUCCUAAAACACCCAACGCCCAAGACUUUUUUAUAAUAGAGUAAAUUUAACUUAGACAUGUUUGGCAACGGAGUAAAGUUUGGGGAUUUUGUUAUGUAUGCUCAACUACUUUGUGCACUGAGUUCUAUCAAGGUAAGCACUGUACAGUCCAUUAUCAGACUCAGACAACUAUUAUAGUGUACUCCUCUUUCUUGUCAUAUUUUUCCUUUUCAAACGUAAUUAAAGAAAUUACAUAUUCAAAUGAAAUGACAUACCAAAAGGAGCCUAGUCAUAAGUCCAGCAAGCUUUAUCAUUCAAAGUAGCCCCAAUUGUGAUUUGUCAGAAGGCUUAGAAUGAAGGACAAAAAUCCCAAGAGAAGAGCCUAAUAAAAAAUUAGAGCAAAACAAUAAUUCCAUUGACCGAUAUCAUUUAUAAAAGAACCUUUGAAAAAAAGAAAAUUAUGCACUUUUUAUUUUGGGCGAUACGAGAUGCUUUCCAAACAGCAUGUGUUAAGAAAUCCCAAAAAUUGUACACGUGUAAAAAAUUACUGGCUGAUUCGACGGAUGAGGUUGGCUUUUUGCCCCUUUUUUUUUUUUUUGUCAGGAGGAUGUGGUUGGCUUUUCAUACAAAUAAGGGCAAAUUACCCUAUUUAUAAAUUAGUAAAAGGGACACUUGGAAUCCUUCUAAGUUCAUUUUAAAAAAAAAAAAAAUUCUGAAAAGCUAAUGUUUCUUAUCCGACAAAGAGAACUUUUAUCUUCUUAUCAUGAUUUAUGAAUACUGAUUUUGAUGUUUUCAAUCCAGCUCAGAAAUUUUUUUUCCUUUGAUCAUGAUUCAUGAACAAUGUGUUUGAUGCUUUAACUGUGCAGUUUUCAUCUCCCCAGGUGGAAAGUUUUGAGUAAAAAGUCAUAGAUUUUCUUUGAAUCUUUUAUUAAACUUGUCAAAAGAACAUGCUACCGACAUUACAAAGAAAAUCUGUUUUCUUUUUUUCCCGUUUUUCGGGCAGCCGAAUGCAAUCGAAACAAGUUUCGUACCGUUGUAAACUUGUAUACUUGAUGGUCCCAAUCAGUGGCUGCCUGUUUCUAAUAUCGAAGUAAAAAAAAAAAAGUUAUUUUUCCGAUUGCAGAUAUAUUUAUUUUGAUUAAAAUUGGCUAUCACAAAUAGAUUAAUGCAAAAUUGGUCAUCAUGUGUUUGAUUAAUUUAUCCUAUUUUUCGUUAUUAGUUUUAAGCUUUUCUUUCAAGUUUUUUUUUGGGACAAAAUUUUCAAAUUUUCUAUGGCCAUAAUCAUAUGUUGGGGUUUGUAUCAGAAAAAAGUUUUUAAGUAUUUGUAUGGAAAAAGACAACUUAUCCUACGUGAAAGUUUUAGAAGCUCCUUUGAUCGGUUAGAUUUUUAAUAAGGAUAUUUUCUAAUUAAUUUUAUAAGUAUAUAUAUAAACUUUUUUUUUUCAUGUGGACAGCUUAUUGUUUAUUUCAUAUGCCACGUUAUUGAGUCAUAUGAUUUAAUAAAAUUAGUACAAACAUAUUAUUAAAUUACAUGAUUUUAUAAUAUAUUAAAUAUUGAUUUUAUUAAAACAGAUGAAACCCUUGUACUUGAGAAUGAAAGUUUGUAUACAUUAGGACGUCACCAAAAUAUUUUGAGAUAUUAAAUUGAUUAGUGACACACCAGAAUAUCAAUGCCGAGAAGAGAACGAGAAGAACUAGUGUGGAGAAAAGGGUACAAGAAGAAUUGCUUUCAUUUCAUGGACCCAAAUUUACGCCGCUAAUUGAGAACGGGAGUUAGUGGAAGGCUUGACUUUUCAGUUUCGAAGAUAUACAUAAAUAUUUCAGUAUUUAUAAACGGAAAAUAUUAAAAAAAACUCAGAUGUUUGGACUGAUUAUUAAUUUUUACAUUGUGAUAACUGAUAUCACUAAAAAAAGGAAAAAGAAUUAAGGAAAGAAAGGAAAUUAAGUUAUAAAGAAAUUAGGGUAUAUAUCCUAUAUUUUAAUUUAAAUAUCUUUUUUGUCCACAUAUUUUAAAAAAAAAUGUAAAGACAUCCUAUUUUAAAUAUGUUACGAUCUUCCUCUUAUUUUUUUCUUACCUUUUACAACAAUACUAACAAUAAUAUUUUUGGCAUUAAUUUUUUAUCUAAAAAAAUAAAUAGCAUAUUAACCAAUAUAUUAGAAAAUUAGAAAUAAAUAUCAUUCUACAACAACUAGUAACCAUUUAUGAUAAAUUAAAACCAACUAAUUUAAAGCAAUGUUUAAGCUAAGUUAAUUUUUUGUAAAAAAAAAUUAAUUACCAAAUUAAUCCUAAAAUUAAGAUAACAAAAAAUAGAUAGAGUAAUUUUUAUCUUACUUUUAAGACUAAUUUGAUAAAUUCAUUUUUUUUUUCUUUUCAUUGAAUCUCCAACAAUAUUAUUGUAAGGGUAUUAUUCUAAAAUCAAAGAAAAGAUCAGGGUAGGAAUGUAAUAUAUUUACCAGUAAAGAUGUCUUGAAAUAUUUUCUAAAAUAAAGAGAUUAAAUGGAUACUUAACUGAAAAAUACACAGACCAAAUAAGUAUUUAGCUGAGAAAAUAUGAUACCAUGUUAUUAGUUAUUAAUUAACAAACCUAAAAAAAUUUAAAUCACUCAAAUGAGUACAAACCACAUAUUUUUUUGUUAAAAUUUGUGUAAAGUCUAGUGCAUGUGUAUAUAUAUAAACAAAGUAGGUAGAUAAUUAAAAAUAAACAUGUCUGAGUUUCAAUAUCUGAAAGCUCGAAACAAGUAUGAGUUUAAGAUUUUCCAAUCUACAAUUAAUUCAGUUACAUUAAAAAACAAAUUUCCUCAAAAUUUAUUGAAAAUUAGUUAUUUAAAAUUAUAUUUUGUACAAUUAUUAUUCAAAUUUAAUUUGAAAAAGUUUAAUAUAGAUGGCGGUCAAUCAACAACCCACUCGAAAGAUUUGAUUUAUUUUCUUUUAUUUUAUUUCUAGUUCUUUUGACAAGUCAAGCCAGCUAGAUUUCAAGCCACAACAAAUGCGAAGUCUAGAAAAACCUAACAAGAGAUAAACUCUAUGUUCAAAUUUAUCACAAUUCACCAGCACGUGGCAGACAUAACGUCCAUUUUGCACUCUAUAAAUACCGUACUCCCAUCACCAACAUUUGCAUAUCACUCACAUUUCUCUACUCCUAAACAAAAUGGCUCCACUUAACAUGAAAAAAAAUAUUGUAACCUUUGCUCUUGUGGGCAUUCUUGCCCUAGCUUUUCCCACCAAAGUAAUGUGUCAAAAUGUUGCUAGCAUUGUGACUCCCCAGUUCUUCGACGGCAUAAAGAAUCAGGCAGCCGCGAGUUGUGCCGGCAAGAGCUUCUACACGAGAGAUGCGUUUCUGAAUGCUGCCAAGGCUUAUCCUCAAUUUGGUAGCGGCUCUCCUGAAGUUUCGAAGCGUGAGAUUGCUGCAUUUUUUGCACACGUCACUCAUGAAACUGGACGUAAGUUCUCUCCAUUUUAUUUCUUUUUGCAUGCAAAGUAUUUAUGAGCAAUCCAUGCAUAGAGAAGAAAACGACUUUUCUUUGUUUUAUUAUUUUCAAAACCGUUUUUGAAAUUUUUUAAAACUAUAUCCCCCAAGGUUGGAAUGAACAUAAUCUUUUUAAUUACAUGCUUUAUAUGUAUUAAAUAAUGUUCUCAGUUUGUUGAACACAUAAAAGUUUUCAAUAAAACUAAUUGAAUACUCCAACUUUUAAUUGAUAUGAUUUGCCACUAGCCAAUUAUCUUGAUUAAGCCCGGAGAGAAUUAAUUAGAAAAAAAAAUGUCUGGCUUUUUCAGAUUUGUGCUACAUAGAAGAGAUUAACAAGUCCAACCGGUACUGUGAUGAACAAAACAAACAGUACCCAUGUGUUCCCGGAAAGUUCUACUACGGCCGUGGACCGAUCCAACUCACCGGAAAUGGAAACUACGGAGCUGCCGGAAAAGCCAUCGGGUUUGACGGAUUAAGAGCUCCGGAAACGGUGGCCAAGGACCCCGUUGUGUCAUUUAAGACUGCCUUGUGGUUUUGGAUGACCAAUGUGCACCCAGUUAUGAACCAAGGUUUUGGUGCAACAAUUCAGAGAAUCAAUGGUGCCGUUGAAUGCGGUGGCAAGCAACCUGCUCAGGUUCAAGCUCGCAUUGGAUAUUAUAAGGAUUAUUGCAACAAAUUUGGUGUUGCUCCUGGCCCAAAUCUCUCUUGUUAAAAUGUUUUCGCCGA